rnacentral:lncRNA from 1 species
AGUGCUCAUCCAAAGGGAGAAGAACCCUUUCCCAUCUUCAGCUCUGGGUGCCGUCUCAGCCGUCUCAGCCGGCAGAGCAGCUGUGCAGAGGGCCAGACCUGCGGAGUUUGCUGUUCCUAAAGACACACCAUUGGUUGGUGUAGAGUCGAGAGUCUGCAGGGGGCACCUAGACGCUCUGAAGAUUCAUUUCACCUACACAGCUUUUUCAUACCCGCACAUAUAAAACUAUGUAUAUAUACAUGCACUCACACAUGCACAACACACAUAGAGGAAAAACAAAACAAAACAAAAUACCAAAACAGGCAUUUUUGUCUGUAUCCAAUGACAAGUACUGAAAAUUUUCCAAAGAAAGAUAAAGCCCAGAGUUUUGGCUUCUGUAAGCCAAUUGGAACAUCUGACAAUUUUACCCCAACAUUUCUGACUCUUUGAGACAUUAUGGACAUGCCUCAAGUUGUGCUACACCCCACUCUGCUUUCUGUAACUACUUUGUAGGCACGGAGCUUGCAAUACCAUAGGAAUUUGUUCAGCCGAGAGUCCAUUCUCUCACCUUGGGCCACCUCUGCUCUUGUAUCAACAGAUGCACUGUAUCUUUGUAUACAUUGUCUCAUAUACAUUGAAUAGGGAGUAGUUGAUUGGCCCAUCUGAACCUUGGCCUCUGAUGCCUCUAAGGAGGCAGCCUGUCGGAGCUGCUCUGCUUGAGUGGUACCUAAAGACAGAGCUCAGCUCAAAUCUCAUCUCUCUCUCUCUGUAAUAUUUGCUAACUUGCUUAAUCUCUCGAAUAUAGUUAGUCCAUAGCAAAAUACACAGAAUAGAAUCUCCUGCCAGGACAUGUCUAAGAACUAAAUGUGGUAAAAGCUGUAAAGUGCCUAGCACCUUGGGCAUCUCUCAGCUUUUGCAAUGCCAUGAGCCAUUCCAUUCUCCCCCAGGAAACACUACAAACCCUUUUAUCUUUGUAGUGACAUACUGUUGAGAAUAGACACUUAAUGACCAUGUGUCUGUUGGGUGUCUAGAUUAUAAUCUACCUAAUUAUUAUUUCUUUCUCUCAAAUGCUUGUAUAUGAUGGGUGUGCAUGUGUGUAUCCAUGUGUGUUUUUAUGUAUUUUGCUGUUUGUGUGCAUGCCAAGUACUGUACAAGUAGGUACGCAUAUGCAUGGAGGUCUGAUGUAGACUUUGGACUCUCUCUUGAUGGAGUCCACUUUAUUUAUUGAGUCAUGGCUUCUCCUUGGACCCAGCACUCACUCAUAGGACUAGUUCAGCUAGCUAGCUUGCUUCCGGUGGUUUCCUGCUUCCACUUCCCGAGUGUUGGAGUUACAGGCAGGAUUUUGUGCUCCCACCAUAUUUAUGUAGGUUCUAGAGAUCAGAACUCUGAUUCUCAAGCUGUACAGUGGGCAUACUUUAACCAUUGAGCCAUGGUUUCAUCCCCUAAUUUACUUAAUUAUUAUUCCACCAUUGGACACUCAGUUUGUUCUACUUUGUUUGUUUGAGAUAAGGUCUCAUUAUGUAACCCUGGCUGGCCGGGAACCCUUGGGUUUUGUAGGACAAGCUGGCCUUGAACUUUUCAUGAUCCUCCUCUCUCAGCUACCCGAGUGCUAGGAUGACAGCUGGACACAUGUGUCACUACAUCUGGCUUAGUUGUUACACUUUUGGAAAAUAAGAAGUUUUGGUUUGACCCUUUUUCUUCUUAGUGGUUACUUCUUGAUAUCUAGUAUCAUUUCCCCACUUUGCCACAUCUUUUCUUAGCCCGUUUCUUCUCUUAAUUUCUUCUAAAGAACUCAGGGCUCUCUUACUUCCUUUAGUACUUACUUUUGAUGUGUGGUCUCAGUAGACACAUGCAACAUGGCAUUAAAUGCCACUGAUACACUUAAAAAAUGAAAUAAUUAUUUUACGUGAUGAGAUGCAUUUUAAAAUUUGUGUUUACUUAUUGUGUGUGCUUGUGCACAAACGUGCAUGUAUGACAUGGCAAAUGUAACAGAGAACAUGUGGAGGCCAGAAGACAGUUUAUGAGACUCAGUUCUCUUCUACCUCAUGUGUUCUGGGGACUGAACUCAAGUCAUCAACUUUGACUUCAAGUGCCUUUAACUGCUGGACCAUCUAGCUAGCCUGAGACAAAUGACCAACAUAGGCUUGUCUUCUGAUUCUCUUCCCCAGCCAGAAUUAAUUAUCUGGUAGCCAGACACAUUUUCAAUCUUCCCUUGUCCAAAAGGGGAGGAAACAUAUUUGAUAGAGAAAAGUUAUAGUAGCAAGAGUGUAGGGGAAGAAGGCAACUGCUGGAAGGUGAUUAGGUGAUAGGUGUUAGGUGAUUCUUAUGGGGUACGGGCAAGAGGAAGACUCCAGAGAAGUCCAAGAAAAGUAGAUAAACAAAGAAAUGGAAUUUUAGUAACAGGAAUGUAUAGCUCUUAAAUAUGGGGUUUUACUUAAAUGUUUUCAAAAUGGCAAGU